rnacentral:lncRNA from 1 species
CUGGUUCUUCUUUUUAUAUCAAUUUGUACAUCAUCCAGUGUUCGGUCUCUUCCUAUAUAGACCUAUGAGAAGGUUGGGAGCUGCAACAUCCAGAUUUUCUCGUUUUUCAGGUUAAUUAUUUAGAUCACAUAUACAUGAUGCUAGAUUAUCUCUUCGAAGGAUUUUUGAGAAACGUUAUUGUAGAGGCUUCUGAGAUGGAAAAGAGGCAAUUGAAGCUAUAUUCCUCUAUGAAUGGCCUAAUCUUUUUUUUUAUUUAUUUAUUUUGAAGGGACCUUGUAGAAGGAUAUGGAGAACUGAAGCUCUGACCUUGUGAUAAUCAUUCUGCUCUUUUGUUUUUAUUUUGUCACAUUUUUCAUGAUUUUUGUUGGGACAUAUUAAGAGGUUAGCUAGAGGGACCAAAUCCUAUAAAUGGAUAUUAUAAGAAAUACCCUGUUUUUUCUAUGCAUGUAUGUAUUAAGUGGGUUAAAUGUCAUACUGUGCUUAUAUAUCGCUAGAUGUGUGAUUAUUGGACUUACCGUAAUUUAUUGAUCUAGUCUCUCAUAGUUAUUUUGUCAAUCAUCAAAAUCUUUCUCUACUGUACUGUAAUUUUAUCAUUACGUUGCAUUGUGUUAGGUCCUUCUACAGGGAUGUUUGAUAAUUGAAAUGUGUGCCAGUCACUGCAUGCUAUGAUUACUGACUUUCUAGAUUUUAUUGAUUCAGUCAUGAGUGAUAAUCAAAUUCAUGUUCUCUACCAUAUUAUAAUACCACUAUUGUCUUCACUUGUCUAUUGUGAUGUUAAAUGAUUAAAAAAUUUUCUUGUUUACUCUAUUGUGGAGUGGAAAUUCUUUGUUUAUCUGUUGCGAAGUUGUUGUUCAUGUUCUUGAUAGGGUGUUUCCUUUGAUUUUUUUAUGCACAUAUUGGAUUUUAAUUGUCUUAUCAGUUGUAAACAGUGAUCUUUUAUAUUAAUCUUUUACUAAGAAUUUUUUUCUUCAAUUGUGAUCAAUGGAGUUUAUAUAGAUGUGCUUUUGGUCUCCAUAUAUUAUAGAUUAUGAUGACACCAAUCCUUUGCUUUAUUGGCAAUUAAGGAUGUUGCAAUUGCUCGAGUUCAUGAUAGAUUGUACUCUUUCAAGCAUAGCCUGAUAAUGGUAAUUUUGAGAAGUUGGUGUUGUUAUUGGUGAAGUAUUGCUGUAUUUUACCAAGUAAGCAUGUGUGUGUCUUUUUGUUUUUUAUUUUUUUGGCAUUGUUCCUUUGCAUGAAACAACCGUCUGGUACGAGGUGUACCGUAUCGUACUAGAAGAAAAUCGAUACGAAACUUAAAUUCAAGUCAGUACAAGCCCCGUGCCACCCAUACCGAGGCAUACCACCCUUUACCGAGGUGUAUUGACCUGUAUCGAGGCGUACCGAAAUGCAUACUGGUCCGUACCGGGGCGUAAUAACAUGUACCGAGGCAUAAAAAUUGAGAAAAUUAGUUAAAGAGCUCUUCGGUACAAGGGUUAUCAUACCGUACGGAACCGAUACGAUAUUUGGUAUCGAGAUUCGAAACCUUGCUAUAAAUGAUGUGGAGGG